AUAUAAGUUUGUCCGAAGGUUUUAGACAGUGAUAAAGCUAUGUGAUCGGCGAUUAUAACGAGCACACAAUUUUUAUCGGCUAUAGCCCUUAAAGCAAUAAUUAUACAUCCACGUAACUCGUAAGCAAAAUAAGCGGCCCACCGAAAACUAACUCGCUGUAACAGUGUAUCCUGCAUGUUGAGAAUGAGUUGAAAAUUUACACACUUUAUUUAUAUAAAAGUAAAGUUUUGCAGUUUUCGUAUGUAUAAGUUUGAAUUAUUCAAGUGUUAAAAAUAGUUAUUAAACUGUUGCUUGAAUUAAGAGACUGCUAUGUGAACUGAACUCAAUAUUUAGAAUAUUUAGUUUUAGUAUAUAGUCAAUAAAGCUUCCUUGUGAGGUGUGUGCCCAGAAAAUAGAAAUGGCUGUCAUAUUAAGGGCGAGGUUAACACAGCAACGCUUGUCAAUCAGUCCGCAAGUUACAUUGAAUUUCAGUCCGAAUUUUACUUGAUCGAAUUUUAAAGUGAAUUUCUGCAAAAUAUCCGACAAAAUCUGCCAUGUGUUUGUGUUCACAAGAAGCCGCCAAGUAUUCCACCACGCCGGAGCUAUUUGAAAACAGUGUAGAAAAGUCACAAGAAGCCAUCACUUUCACACUACGCUGGAGCAAAAUCAUUUGAAAACGUUCACAUCACUUUUGCCGUAACAAUUUGAGCACAGUUUCUAAACGGAGCGAGGUGAAAACGAGCUCUUGAUAGCUUUGUGUGAACACAAACAUGUAAACUCGAAUGCUUUUCAUUUAAAUUUCUUGGCUCUAUUUGAAAUAUUUUGGGUUUACAUGAGUGCUAAUUUAAUUUGUAAACACUGUAGGGGGGUAUGGAUCUAUUCUGGAAUGACCCAAUCACAUAAUUUCUGUGCCUUCUUCACUAUGAUUGGCCAAACGUGCCUAAAUUUCCAAUGAAAACAUUCACAUUUCUGCUUCACAACAUUUAAAUUUGCCCUGGGUAACUUGUGCAUUUCAACGAGCUGCGUGGCAAAACUUCCUGUCUAUGUAAUGUUAAGAACUAUCAAAUUUUUAAAUUCUACUACACUGCUAAUCGGGCUGUCCAAGCGGGCCAGUCCGGCUCCAAUAUAAACAGCCCCUAAGUCAAACAGAAAACCGAUGGCUAAAACAAAACCUGACCCCCAAUCUCGUUUCACUUUGCAUGCAUGCAACGCCUUUGCCAAAUACGCUACCAGGCUGAAAGCUGUUGCAAAAAAAACUGUUUUAUAUUACUACUUUACAAAAUGUAAUAAUUGGAU